GACGAACGAGGGAGGCGUGCUUAACACAUGCAAGUCGAACGGAAAGGCCCUGCUUUUGUGGGGUGCUCGAGUGGCGAACGGGUGAGUAACACGUGAGUAACCUGCCCUUGACUUUGGGAUAACUUCAGGAAACUGGGGCUAAUGCCGGAUAGGAGCUCCUGCUGCAUGGUGGGGGUUGGAAAGUUUCGGCGGUUGGGGAUGGACUCGCGGCUUAUCAGCUUGUUGGUGGGGUAGUGGCUUACCAAGGCUUUGACGGGUAGCCGGCCUGAGAGGGUGACCGGCCACAUUGGGACUGAGAUACGGCCCAGACUCCUACGGGAGGCAGCAGUGGGGAAUAUUGCACAAUGGGCGGAAGCCUGAUGCAGCAACGCCGCGUGCGGGAUGACGGCCUUCGGGUUGUAAACCGCUUUCGCCUGUGACGAAGCGUGAGUGACGGUAAUGGGUAAAGAAGCACCGGCUAACUACGUG
rnacentral:rRNA from 1 species